AUUGAACGCUGGCGGCAUGCCUUACACAUGCAAGUCGAACGGUAACGGGCCUUCGGGUGCCGACGAGUGGCGAACGGGUGAGUAAUACAUCGGAACGUGCCCGAUCGUGGGGGAUAACGAGGCGAAAGCUUUGCUAAUACCGCAUACGAUCUACGGAUGAAAGCAGGGGACCGCAAGGCCUUGCGCGGACGGAGCGGCCGAUGGCAGAUUAGGUAGUUGGUGGGAUAAAAGCUUACCAAGCCGACGAUCUGUAGCUGGUCUGAGAGGAUGAUCAGCCACACUGGGACUGAGACACGGCCCAGACUCCUACGGGAGGCAACAGUGGGGAAUUUUGGACAAUGGGCGCAAGCCUGAUCCAGCCAUGCCGCGUGCAGGAUGAAGGCCUUCGGGUUGUAAACUGCUUUUGUACGGAACGAAAAGCCUUCUUUUAAUACAGGAGGGUCAUGACGGUACCGUAAGAAUAAGCACCGGCUAACUACGUG
rnacentral:rRNA from 1 species